ensembl:lncRNA
GUCCCACUGCAGCUCCUAUGGCUGCUGUCCCCAUCUGCAGCACCAGCGGCCGUGGCACUUCCAAAUAAAGUCUGUUGUUCUUUUUCUCACUCCAGAUUAUUAAAGCUCUAAGAAUGCCUUUUUGCUGUCUUAGCAAGAGCUCUACAUUUACCCUUAAAGGAGAUGUUUAUAACAUCUAAGCAAUGUUAAAGCCCAAAGAAGGAAAAUAAAGGAAUAUCCAGAAUGGGAAGAAGCUGAGCUGUAAAAGGAUUAGAAACCAGUUUUCUUUAAACAUUUUGUAGGGAAAAAAAAAAACCCCAACCACAAAACACACCACUUUGGAAACAAUUAUUUACAAAGUUCAAAGUAUUUGACACUGUUUGCUUUGGUACGAUAAGGGGCAACAACAUCCCUAAUCACAGGGGCUUACCCAAACUACUUCUGACAGCAGAAGUAAUUUCACCAGAAGUAUAUUUCUUCUAGGAAGGAUACUUUGCUUGCUUAAAAAUCAUUCUUACAUUGCUGAUAAGUCUCUUACCAGUAGAUUAUAAGUGCCUCUUAAGUCAGGAAUAUGUUCCAUGCCCUGAGCGCAGCCAGCAGCCCUUCUCUGAAUAAAUGCUAUUGAAGUCGGUGCGAAUUUUGCCUGAGGAGGUUCACUGCAGGUGUUUGGUUCUGUGUGCGUAACGUGCCUCAAUACAGAAACUCCUACUCACUAUUGUACAGUGCCAGUCUUCAGAACCAUGAUGCAGUGCUAUUCUGACCUUUUCACCUUCCUUGCGUGUAGAAAUGAGGGACACUCAAGGUAAAAGCUGGUUGGGCUCCAAGCACCUGAAUGAGCUGCAGGUGUCUCUGCUUACUGCAGGGGAGUUGGAGUGAUGGCUUUUAAGGGUCACUUCCAACUCAAACGAUUCUAUGAUUUUCAGUACUUCAUGACCAGGGAGCAGAGGUCCCUGCUGCACAGGAUGGGUAAGGCCACUGACCUGAGUUCUUGGGACAGCGGAGGGCACAUUUCUAUUAGAAACAUCCUAAACCUGCUGAGCCAGGUAAGUGUUUAGGACAAUAGGAGGUUGGAAGAAUUUACCUUCAGUAAAGAGGCGCUGGAAUAGGUCUGAUGGCACUGGGAAGGGUGAGGGGAGAGAAAAUGAUGUGAGAGCCUGCGAGAAAUACAGCCUGUGUGGAACAAGAAGAUGCGUGCAAGGAGAUUGGUGCCAGUAGACCUAAGCAGAUGUGGAUUUAGCAGAAAAAGGGGGAGGCGGGGAGCCUGGGCCAGCCUUCAGCAUGCCCCCACGAGGUGCAGCUGAGAUGCACAGCCUUUAUUCCACAUCUGGAUCAAAGCCAGGGCACUCCUGGGAGCAGCUUCUGCCGCUCACCGGAGGCAAACACGGCUGCUCUGUGCUGCAGGGUGCAUCAGAGACAACUUGUCUCAGAAUGCUUCCUGGAAACCAGCGCCCUAUCUUAAUUCUAUCACAAAGAUGCUCACUUGUGCAUAAUAAUAGCAAUAAUAAUAAUAAUAAUACUAAUAAUGAAAGAGGACCAGCUUCUAGAUGCUGUUGUUCUGCACAGCUCAGGAUGAGAUGUAAUGUAGGAUGAGAGGCAGUGCCCUCAAGUUGCACUGGGGGAGGUGCAGGUUGGAUAUUAGGAAAAAUUUCUUCUCCAAAAGAGUGGUGAGGCACUGGAAUGGGCUGCCCAGGGAGGUGGGGGAGUCACCAUCCCUGGAGGUGAAAAUGGAGAUGUGGCACUGAGGAACACGGUUAUGGGCAUGGUGGGGAUGAGCUGACAGCUGGACUCAAUGAGCUCAGAGGUCUUUUCCAACCUUAAUGAUUCCGUGAAUCUGAUUUGUGCAUGGGUGGGUCACAGAAGAGCGGAGAUUGGAGGUGCAUACGGCCAGUCAGGCUAUUGUGAAGCAUCUGACAAAUGUACAGAUCUAACUCCCGCACCUUGAACAGAGGCUAAGGAAGUUCUUAAAUCAAACCAGCUAUUUUACUUCCUCGCUGUCCUCAAUGUUUUGUUGCAAAGGCUUUGUGGCAACUCAUGUCAAAGAGCCAAGUAAAUGUUUUCUUGAGCUGUGUAGAAGAUGAUGUCAGGCAGUGAUGGAAGUGAAAUACUGACUUGGUACAACUGUUUGUGCCUCAGAUAGAAUUGACUCAUUUUGUGAGAUUAUAGAAAAUGUAUUCCGUGAUUAUAUAUGCCCCUAGAGGCCUUCUGGAGGUGAGAUUAUGCAUCUCACGGUGUUAUUCUAUCAGAAAAAAAAAUGGACUAAGUAAAUAAAAAAUCUGCAGGGUGUGACUUCAUCAUGCACUGUUGACAUCUGCUUAUAUGAUUUAAAGGACGUUACUAUGAAUACCAUACUCGCUAAUGUAAAUGAUGAAGAAAUCAUAGGUCAAUCAUAUAAUAAUAAAUAUUAGCAUAGGUUUCCCAAGGCCAGAAAUGGCUGAAAUGGUAAUUGGGACUACGAUUUUACUCUUGAAUUAUGUGAUACUGAAAACGCUUUGGUCGCUGCCGCUUUCCUGGAACCGCUCCAUUAAGGCCAGACAGAUGCACUGUCCAACCUUUCUUAUUCCAAGAAGUAAAGUCACUUUUCCAUAGGGAUGAUUUUCCUCUCACCAUCCCACCCUGCAUGAAGCUGGGAUGUUGGGGAUGUAGAGCUGCACGCCCCGAUCCCAUCCAUUUGCUGCCCUGGGCUUGAGGCAGGCAUCCAACUCUGUCCUCAACAGCGAACUCUUCCCACUUAAACACCCAAACAAAGCGCUCUCAAAGUGCAUUAAUGCAAUAGCCACUAUGUUAACUUCGAUGAAAGACUGGUCUGAGCAGUACAGUUUGAAUUGACAAAACACCUGAAACUCACGGCGCUAUUUAUGACACCACUGAAUUAGCGUGGACAUACAGCCGACACAAAACGCCGUGGCUGCAGCUUUAGCGUAAUUCAUUUAGCAAUUGUCUGGAAACACCUUGAGCUGCAGAGCGUGGCCCCCCAGAGGUGUUCUUGCUCCCCAAAGCCCAGAGUAAAGCCAAAGGCUCAGCCACAGGUGGGAGCGGCUGGUUGGAAGCGAUGCUGCCUGGAGCCCUGUGGGCAGGCAGGGACCUCCCCUCUGCUGCCAAAAAUCUGUGCCUGCCAACAUUUGGCUGCUCAGUGGGUGAGGGCUCAGGGUUGAAGCCCUCCCAGUCCUCCUUCACCUUCCCAGCAUCCCCAGCCCUCCCCACCUGGGGCCAUGUGAGUUUGUCCCAGAGAGGCCUGAAAGCCAGAAGCUGCUACAAGAAAAUAUUUUAAGUAAUAGCAGUUGUUGGGCAAUUACUGUAUUACCUGGGGAUUCCUGCCAGGCACUGCACAUGGUGGGAUGUGGAAAUGAUGCUAAAUCAUAUUUUACGGGGGAAAAAUAAAAAUACAACGCAAUCCCGUAAUGCUAUCUGAGCAUUGCUGUGCUGUGUUCCUCUAAUGCCUGCAACUCCUUAAUGACAGUUCUCAUAGCAGUCGUGUUCUAGCUGCUGUCUGAUGCCGAAACACUCUGUAGAAAGAAAUUCGGAUACUCUGUAUUUGAGAGCAGUUACAAGAAAGUCUAAAAUUAGGUCAUAAAUUAUAUAACCUUGCAAGGAAACAAGAAAUUUAAUGACUAUGCCAAACCAGAGAUAAAAGCCGAGGAAGGAAAUAGCAUCUUCCUCAUUAAAUAUUAAGGAUCAGAUCCUUCAAACAUUUUCCAGUGAUGAACUCUGUGGGAGUUUGGCAUCUGUAUUUCUGUGUAUUCUAUAGAAGAUGCUUAUACAUCAUAUACAAGUGCUAAAUGUGAUUUAUGGGGCAUACGCACAGGAAGUGUAUUUAUAAUGCAUAAAUAUAUUCCAUCAAGAGCAGGGAAGGUGAUCAGUGACAGUUCUUUAAGAGGUUCAAUCAGAUACCGCGGUGGCUUAUUUCUAGUGCUGCUCCAAAGGGGUUUUUAAUUACGAGGAGCAGGUAGGGGCAUUCCUUUCUGGUGCUGACGGAGGCAGCAGAUAGCACAGAUGGGGAGAUGAGCCCGGUGCCUUCUCAGUGGGAUUCAAGAAGUGCUGUACAAGAACAAAGAUUACUGGCUUCUAACAGAGGAUUUGAGAAUUCCCUGCGACGCUUGAUUCCCUCCUUCAUUUUCGACAGUGCCAUUAGUCCUUUUUCCAGCCUCACACAAGAUUUGAUCUAUUUAAAACGACGCAAGGGUGAGACCUCACACACAUUCCCCUAGAUGUCCUACAUGAUUCCCCCGGACCAGCGGUCCAUGCUGAUGCCCUGAGUGCGUUCAUGAGACGAGUGACCUAGUUCCAGUACUGUCUGCGAUACUUGAAUGAGAAACUAAAGCUUGGGGGUAGAUCUUCAGCAGGAGUAACUCACCCUGCUCACUGUACAACACAUCGUGGGCACAAAGCGUCUUCCAGGGAAUACGCAGCACUCAGAAAGGUUCAUUCCUCAGCCUGAACAAAGUGAGGAAGAAAGAUGCCUUGCAACAUCAGCAAACAGGGCACAUUUCCCUCUACAGGAUGGGAGCUGGUCAACUCCAUAUUCCUCAGAAGUUUGAGAUCAGGUUCUUCACGUGCCUAAUUUGGACUUAAUUCAAGGCUGGGAUAAAUCAUUACAACUCAGAUGAAGUCAGUAAGAGCACAGUGACUUACAUCAGCUCUGUGUCAGUAAAUACUGGCAAAAUUGAUCUCAAACUUUUUCAGAACAAAAGAUUUUUGAAGAUGGAUUAAACAACAUAAAUGCUGAGCUGUUUUGCUAGACUGCAAAUGGCAUAACACAUGCUUUGUGUGACAUCUCUGAAUUAUUCCUUCGUGGCAAUGUUGACAUUAUAUGGUAUUGACUCAUGGAAGAAGCUUAAAUACCCUUUUAAGUUUUCAAGACUCUUUGACAAAGCACUAUUUCAUUAACAAAAUGUUAAUGGAAUCUGUGAAGCCUGAAUAUACAGCAUAGCCUGCUGGUUUCAAGAAGCUGCAUUCACUGACCUAGAGGAGUGACUGCCAUAGAGCACUACAACCUCUAUUUUUAGAAUGCACCUUGUGCAGGUCACCCAUGGGCUGAGUAAGGAGAACGUGAGCUUCCGUUACUUCCCCCAUCAAACAGGAUUAUCACACCUUCUGCUGGAAAAGGUCAAAACAGCACUGACAUGGGAAAUGGAUAAUAUAAGGUAAAGCAGGAGGGACAGCAGGGUUGGCAUUGACUUGAAGCUAAGGCUUCUUGCUUGGGACAAGGAGGAAGACCUAGAGAGCAUAAUGCGUACUCUGAAGUCAUCUUUGGGAAAGGAGCAGUGAUGUGCCUACAGCUAAAGCUGUUGGCCCUUAGUACUCUGCUGACCCUCAAAUAACUACAGGUUUUUCUAUCUGACAUGCCUAUUGCUCAAAACAGAUCCCAGUUUCCACAUUCUUGAUCCAAUCCAAAGCAGGAACCCAAGAGUGAGACCAGGGCAGACCAAGGCAACACCCAAAUGCUGCACUGCUGCAUGUUUGAAGGAGGUUGGCCCCUCCCUGGUUUUCUACAAGAGGGCAAUAAAUGCAACAAAACUCAACCCUGGAAAAACAGCAGCUUUUUUCAGACAUGUUUUCCAAUGGAGGAACAGAUUUUUUAUCAUCAGCCACCCACAACAUUUUUUUUUUUUUUUUUUGAAUCAAUAAACUUGUAACUGUUUAUAAUACAUGCCGCUGGUGACUGUGACAUGCUCACAAUGCAUAUUCAACUUUUAACUCUGUGAAUUUAUCACUUGUAAGUUCUUUGCAUGAACAGCGACAGAGCUUUUCAAUGGCAAAAUUCACCCACACGCUGAAAAGUCAACUUCCUAAAGCCAAUCAUGUCUGCUGUUUUCUGUGUCUGUUACUACUUUACAUAACGUGUUGUUAUGAACAGAUGAGACCAGAAUGGAGGGACAUGGAAAUACUAAACGUCCGUCCGCUCACUGUCUUCUGCAUUGGGUGGCAUUUGGUGUGCCAUCAGAAUCUACAUUUCCUCCUGAACAGUCCAUUUUUCACAUGGAUUUGCGUAAGGUAACCAGGGGAAGAAAAUCACAAGUUAGAAAUUUAAUGAGAAAAACAGCACAUAAACACAAAAAUUGACUGAGGUACCCAAGGGCCACCUUGCAGCCUCAAACUGUGCUUGCACACGAGUCGUCUUUCCAAAUGCCUUGCUCACAAGCACAGAGCAGAGGAAGGCUGCACCACCUGGAGCAUGCUCAGCUGCAUUGCACUGACCCAAGGAAGCACUGCCAGUCCCUGCAAACAGGAUUAGUUCAAGCACAAGGCAAUUCCAACUUUCAGUUCACCACCACUAAAUAGAGGAUAAACUUGCCUGCAGCACAGCAGCACAGACAAAGCAGCACUGUAGACUGUCCUGCAAACGUGGCCGUUAGAGGACAAUCAGCUGGGAGACAUUCCUCAAGAUUUCAGUGCAAUUGUGUUAGAAAUAAAAGACAGAAGCUCUUCAAAAAUAAGCAAAUAAAGUCCUGAAUGGUUGCUACAGUAAUGAUGGGCAUGCCAGAAUCAGCCCAGUUUAAUCUCAGCACAAAAUGAAUGCGGCACAUGAGCAGAGAAUCCAGGUGAGCUUUCAGGGCUUGGUAUUCCUACAUGUAUGGAAAUACAAUAACCUAAUAAAAGCAAAAGGAAGAUCACACAGACCAUCUCUCAAAGGUUUCGUGGAGAAUAUUGUAACUUUUGGUAUAUAACAGAGUAAAGGACAUACAGAAGAAUCAAAAUUCAAGGGAAUUGCAGAAAGAAGGAUUUUUCCAUCUUGACAGCAAAGUAUUGCGCUCUGUCAAGAACAAAGUUCAGUGUGAUCUCGCUGGGGCCACAAAUGUUCCAGAUGAAUUAACAGAAGUCCAUUGAUCUGCAGGACCAAGCAGGAUGUAUACUGGCUGAAGAUCUGCCCCAUGAGGCUUGUAUCCCACUGCCAAGAAGCCAUCUCCCACCCUACAGAUAGCAUUGGUCAAAACCCGCUGUGAAUAACCACUUUAUAAUGCAAGACACUUACUAUGCAGUGGGUCACUGGUAGCAGAGUUGAAAAAGGGACAUUCAGAUCUGCAAUCACAAGCCUCUAUAGUCAGCACUAAAAAAAUUAGCUCUGUCUCAAAGGCUCUUGUAGACCCAGGAGGAUUAACACCAGUAUUCAAAGAACAGAAUGCUGCGGUAGGUUAGCAAGGGUUAAGGAAAACCAAAGACCUUGAUAUCUUGCAAAUCUACAUGCAUACUGCACAAAAGUUUUCCCCCUCUCAUACUCAAGAUUGCAUUUGUCACACUUUUAGAAAAACCUUUAAUGGAAAUCUCAGAUAUGCUCUGAUAAAGCCAUAAAUAGAAACAACAAGCUCAGGGAAAACAUGCAUCCCAUACUGACCAUCAUUUUCCAUUUUCCUGCUUUUGAGCAAGACUGCAACAGUGCAAAGACCCAAGGACAACUGGAAGACAGAAGCUCACCAGAACAGGCAUCUCUCCUUUAGAUCUCCACUUCCCUACAGUUACAUAGGUUUCUAGUGCUCUAACAACUCAGUAUAGUUACAGCCACAUUUUAACUCAGCUGCCAUGCUCACACCACCACCAGGCACACCUCCCACCAGCUGCUCUUCAAUGAGGGCACUUACUACUCCAGGAGAAAAUCACCUGUGUAGUAUCAGACUGCUGUUUUUCUUGAGGUAAGAGGUUAUUCACAGACCUGCAAUAAAAUUACAGGAACCAGCUUUCUUCUUUUUAGUCUCUGGAUAGGUCUUUUAGUCAAAAAAAAUUAAAGAACCAAGAAAAGUUGAAUAAAAGGUGAUAAAGCCAACACAGAGACCUUCCAACUGUAAAUACUUGUCACUCUCGGCAUAAUAUGCAACCUUCUAUACACAGUUACAUUUCAGGCAUGUUUAAGUAUCCUUGAGAAAUGACUUUAUGCUGUUAUUAUUCCUCAAGAGCUUCAGAUGAGCUUGGAUCCAUCUCUGUUCAUCAUGUCAGCCACUCUACAGAUAGCUACACACACUUUGCCUGCUCAGUUUUAUUAAACAGCUAACCCUAAGUUUUAUUAAUUCUCGCUGAUCUGCAUAAAUUACAAAGCUCUGUGCUUAUUUAUGUAUCAUAUGCUGACUUCGAUCCAUAUUAAAAUCAAGCAGUGCAUUAGGCCUAAUGGAGCUGGUUCUUCCAUAAGAAGGGCACUCCAAGUCUUGCAUUGCUGUUUGUAACUUGUAUUUCCCCAUUGUUUCUAUGUGCUAGAACUAGUGCUUAACUUCAAGAAGACAUAUCUUUUUGUUGUUGAUAACCGCCUUCCCAAGGACAAAACAAUUGAUUUAUAUGGUAGGUCUUUUACUUUUUGCAUGUUGACUCAUCUGGGUUCACUUCAAACCUUUUAUUCCUCAACAGUUUUACAUCUGUGGGGUUAGUAAACUUCUCUUAAUCAGGGAUAGAGAAAUAUUCUGAAAAUCUGGACUUCAAGCCUGAUCUGUAGGAUUAUAGGUUAGUUGGACUUGAUGAUCGUUAAGAUCUUUUCCAACCUGAGCAAUUCUAUGAUUCUAUGAUUAUAGGUUGAAUAGAGGACGGAUGGAGCUGUGGGACAUUUGAUAUCAGCAGAAGACUUUCAUGCAGCAGUCAGCAGACACACCCCAGCACACAUGCAUGCAUGCAGCAGACCUAGCAUGAGAAUCCCAAAAAUAAUUGCAGCUGUAUUCCUCUUCUCAACCUGAGAAAAGUGACCUUAACAAGGCUAUCGUGGAGCUCUCCUGAGGGUGCUUUACACAGUGGAAGGGAACAUGGCUGUGGACUUGUGUGCCUGGAAGCACAAGGGAGAUGUGCAGGAGCCAGCCAUGAUCACUGUAGUGAUGGUGCCCAGUGUAGUAAGAUAUCCAAACUCUUUAAUAAGUCUUUCAGUAGCACAUUCCUUUGAAGUCCUUCAGAGCAUGACAGCAAUUAACUGAAGACUCAUCUUCCCUCAUGUUGUUUUAUCCACUCUCACUCGAGAUCAACACUUCCUCUGAUGGUAGUGCAAAUUCACACCCCCCAGCUACAAGGAGCUUGCAAAACGACCCGGUUACAAUUACAGACACAAUGAGCAGUACCUUCGGUGUUUCUGGGCUCAUUCUGAUUGUUUCUCAUGGCCUCCAUUUUGCAGAUGUAAGACAGUAGGGCAAUCCACCACUGAGUGCAUCCAGCUAAAAAAUCUAGCUAAAAUAGGAUUUUCUCCACCUUGAGAGAAAUAAGGAGACAGCGAGCAGCAGAUAGGCAACAGGGAAGCAUUAAUCCAAAAGUGCUCUUGGAAGAAAGUUUUUCAAGGUUUUCUGUUUACUUGUUCCUGUUGUGGUUUUUUUUUGUCGUUUGUUUUGGGUUUUUUGGUUGUUUUUUGUUUGUUUGUUUUGGGUAUUGUUUUGAAAGUGAGCAAGGAUGAGGAUAAAAGAGAACUAAUUCCUCACUAAAGGGCCUCCUACAGCCCAAGCAUGGCGGCCUGCUGGCUGCGGCACAGCGCCGUAACCUCUGCACGCAGCCACUUGAACAGGGUUCAAGGCAAUGACUUCACAUGGAGGCAGAGUGCGAAUGGCUUUAAACCACCGAAGCAGUGAUAUAAAAUUGCGGCGUGGCAGCAGGGGGGGCCCUGCAGCCUCACAGCGGGGAGAAGGGGUCUGGGAACAGCCCUCCACAGGGGCAGGCAGAUGUCAGAGGGAAAACAAAAGAGGAUCCGAAGCCUUCUCCUCUGAGCAUCACCUGCAUCCACACAUCGCUCUGUCGGCCACCUCCAGAGCCCUGAGGGCGCAGCAGUUCACCCCUCAGAAGUGAAAAGGAAGGGAUAAAGAGCAGCAACCCGGAAUUUCUGUUCUGUGAGAAAUUCCUGUAUUCCGACAGUCCCUUUGUGCAGGAGGGAAAUGGGAUCUUAAAGGGUUCUUGUAAAACUGAAGUGGUGAGGACACGUUAUCAAAAUGUUCCAUUUUAAUGACGCGCUGUGUUGUAGUCUGAGGGCAUUAAAACAAUCCAAACGUAACAAAACAUAAAGCAAAGCAUGUAACAAACAUGAGAACCACGCCACAAACGCAAAGUAGGAGCCUGAGCAAAUUAAAACAUAUCAGCAUCCUCAAAACCAAACAGUUCAGCAUUACACCAGCAAGGAUGAAAGUCAAAUGAGUCGCUGGAACGCGCUGUGUCUCAAAGCGGAGCGACCAACAGUAUUCCUACGGAAAACUCCAUUUCCAUUCACACUGCACUGAGCUGUUUGAACAUGUUGUGACUGCCAGCACUCAGGAUAUUGCUGCCACCACGACCUCCCCUGCCAAGGUGAUGCAGCGAGCAGCACAGCGCUACUCCUCCUGACGGAAGGAAACCCUAAGAUCUAUAUUUUCUAUAAAAUUGCCUUAUUUCUCAGCCAAGAUACUAUAAGCAGAGGUAAAGCGAAGCUAUUGCUACUGAGACCUCCUUACUGUAAGAAAACAUACCGCAGUGCAUUUACUGAUAUGCUAUGAAAUCACAUAAAUCAUUCUGACAACAUGAUACUUGUCAAAAUAAAGGCAUAAAAUAUGGUUUGAAAUAAAAUAUCCUCAGUCCUGUUUAUUCAUUUGCUUACUCAUGCUGUUUGGCUUUUCUCACUGGGUUCCCCAAUCGUUGGGGUGAAUUAGUGAGGUUCUGCUGGAAAUACCAAACCACGUGCAUAUUCACAGUCUUAUACACGCUGAAUAUCUGCAUAUAGCUCUGUACAGUCAUUCAACUGAACUGAAAAUAAAGCAUUCAAAGGACACUUUUCCUGUAAUAUUUUUUUCUCUUCCAGUAUUUUUCCCCUCCCCCCUCAAUAUUUCACUAGUGCUUAACGGUGGCAUGGUUUAAGGGAGUCCUGCAUGGAAAGCUCCUUCAGCUGCUUAGCCCAACAGCAUAAAUUUGAUCUCGUAAUUAGUAUUCAGCUCAGCAUCUUGGAUAGAAACCAAUGUUACAGCCAAGAGGUGGUUUAAAUCACAUAAAUCAUAGAUCAAUGACAGAACUCUAAGCACUGGAUAGAUUACAAAAGUAAGCUUUAGUUAAAAAUAGAUUAACCAUUUCCCUGCAGGAAUUCCUUCAAAAAAGCCCUGAAUAUAAAACAAAUAAAAUUAAAUCUGAUAAUUUUUUUCUAAUGUAUGCAUAUACUAGAUGAAUUGUUCUUUCCCUUGACAGUUACACACUGAUUAAAGAAAUGUGUUAACAUGCUAUUUCAAUGGAAAAUAUUGUAAGUUGUGGAGACUUUAAUUUUUUUAAUGAGGUUUUAAUAGCCAGAAAGAACAUACCAGAAAUGUUGUGCACAGCUAGGUUGGUAGCAAACGUCACAGCAGCUAGCAGAUACUUCUUCAGUUGCUAUUUUUAUAGAAAGGGGUAAAAAUCCUUCUUACGCAAAGAAAAAUGUUUUUGAGAGGUGUUUUUAAAGUGUUUUAUGUUUUUAAUUUUAGCUAAUGAAGUGUCCAGUUCUGAGAAGUAUCACAAGCUGUCUGCUGCCAAUGUAAGCACCCAUUGGGGUACUCGGCGUCCUGAAGGGUUGCACCCAAGGUCCCCAAAUUAUUACCAGUUCAGCGGGACAGAAGAUGAGGGGUUGAAACUCUUUCCUUUGACUGAGGAUGGAAGGAGGUGCUGAUGCUGGAAUCAAAUUCUCACCUGAUGUAUACCGGCUUUACAACAAAUAGGAGUGCACAGAUUAAAAGCAUUUUCUAGCUCCUAUGUAUUUUAGCGUGUUUUCAUAUUGAGAGGUCAGACAUCACGCCAUUGUUCAAAAGAAAAAUAAAAACAAAAAACUUUUAACCCUAUCAAGGAGAAUUUGCAUGUCUAUUUUGUUAGUUGCAGAACUGAACAGUAUUAAGAGCACCUCAGCCACUCCUCAGGAAGGAGAACUGCACAAUUCUGAGCCACUGCAGCUGGAAUAAUGUACUUGAAUUCCUCCCAUUGACUGGCAGGCACACAGAAGGCAGAGAGCCCUUUAAACACACACACACACACACACACACACACGCUCACAAUUCGAGGCAGUUCAAGCAACAUCAAACAGAUGAAAGCAGCCUGAACAUCAGGCCUCCAAUCCUGCCACCUCACACGCUCUGCUUACACUAUUUAAAUGCAGCUUAACAUUAGUUAGAAAAUGAUCAAACAAGCUGAUUGAAACUCAAAAUUUCCUAGCCCUGGAUUAACAAAUUUUGAUCAGAUGGAGAACUGGAAAUACUGGAAUUUGCCCUGAUAAAAAGUUGCACAGUUUUUGAAUUGAUAGCUGCUAUAGCCAUAACAUGAUUAAUAAAAAUCUUCCUGAACAUUAACACUUGCUUCUAACUUCCUACAAAACACAAAAACAUGAAUGUAAUUGUUAGUCAUAUCUAGAAUUCUUAAAAUAAAUAAUAGUGCUUUCAUAUGCCUUACAUUUGUUUUCGAAUACUCAGAUGCACCAAGAAGAGCGUUUUUAAACUUUUAGUGCUUUAUGGAAAUUACAGCUUUCAAUUUCCUAAGGCUUGUUUCACCGUAAGAAGAAAUAAAAAAGCAAGCUGCUUGAUGGCUAUUUGAGGAACAACGUUCAAAACUGGCACCCUGUGUGAUAGAAGACUGCAAUAUAUGCAAUCAAGAGAUAGAUUCAAACAAUAAUAACUAGCUCAGGCUCCAGGGCAUAGCAGAAUGUGUCAUUUACUACAGACCUGAGCCUUUAAACAUCAGUCCUGUGAACAGUCCGGUGGAAAAUAGAUGGCACUGCUCACAUAAGUAUAGACUGCUCAUACAGGGAAGUUUUCAAAGGCUCUGCAUUUUCUAAGGGGCUGAAAAAUGCAUAUUGAGUUUAGUAAAACUACAGAAAAAAAGAUCUCUUGUAACAAGCCAAAUUGUCAGUGAGAUGUCAGGGUUAAU